AUUGAACGCUGGCGGCAGGCCUAACACAUGCAAGUCGAACGAGUGGCGGACGGGUGAGUAAUGUCUGGGACCCUGCCUGAUGGAGGGGGUUAACUACUGGAAACGGUAGCUAAUACCGCAUACCAUCGGAUGUGCCCAGAUGGGAUUAGCUAGUAGGUGGGGUAAAGGCUUACCUAGGCGACGAUCCCUAGCUGGUUUGAGAGGAUGACCGGCCACACUGGAACUGAGACACGGUCCAGACUCCUACGGGAGGCAGCAGUAGGGAAUCUUGCACAAUGGGCGCAAGCCUGAUGCAGCCAUGCCGCGUGAAUGAAGAAGGCCUUCGGGUUGUAAAGUACUUUCAGCAGGGAGGCGUUACCCGCAGAGAAAGCACCGGCUAACUCCGUGCCAGCAGCCGCGGUAAUUC
rnacentral:rRNA from 1 species